CACGCUAUGAGAGGAAUUUCUCCCUGAGCUACUGUGAGAGACCAAGUAGAACAUCCCAGGUCGUCCCCCAAAGAGGGAAGACGCUGAGGUGUCCACCCUGCAGUCUCUGCCUGUGGCUGGUGGGGGCUGAUUCCGGGAUGGGAGCUCUGGCACAAGUGGUCUCUGGUGCAGAGAGCUGCCACUGCUCAGUCAGCAGUGCUCGGCGUGUGGGGCUGAGCACCCAGGACACACUCGGCCUCUGCGGCCAACGCUCUUUGCCUGGAAGGACAGCCAAGUAUCACUCCCUCACUGUUGCUCUUCAGAGUGACUCACUGGAAACAGGAUGUGGAAAACAUGCAGAAUGGCAAAGCCAAUGAUCUCAGCAGACGCCGACACUUCCACCACUCCUCACGUCCAGCGCCGUCUGGAAACUCACUGAAUGUUCACGACAACCUGAGGCCCGCAGAUCAAUUUCUGAGUCACAGAGCCUGCGUCAUCUCCCAGCACAGGUGAGUUUGAGCAGGAUGCUCAUUAAAAGAAACAACGGGGUGUAAACCUUCGUGCAGCCGACGGGAGCCCUGGGAGGACAGAUCUGCGCAGCCAGCACUCAGCGAGCAUCCAAGGCCCCCUGACGAGUCACAGGUCUGCAGGGCUGCACUUCACCCCACGGAUGAGUAGACCAGCGUCCACCCCUGCGCACGGAGCCAGGCACUGCCGCAGCCCUUCUCCCUGGCUGCCACCCUGCCUUCCCGAAGCAUCCAAUGACCGGGGUGGGGGACUCCCACAUCCCCACCCACAGAUGAAUACUCCAGCUGCACGACAUCUAGAAUAUUCCUUGAAUACCCACUAUCUGCACGUUCCAUACUAGAAGCUUGGGCUUACAAUUGUGACGAAGUCAGAGGUGUCCCUGCUUGUGGGGCACUUUCAUCCAGGGAAAGACAGAUGAUGCCAAAACAAACGAAGAAGAAGAAUACGCCCACAGUGUUCAUGCUUUGAAAAAUAAUCAUAAAACAAGUGGAUAUGUCAUUAAAAAUCACCAGGAGGAAGGAGGGUUAGAUGGGGGCGAAAGUGUCAAAGAUGUCAAAGAAAGUGUGAAACCCACAUAACGAGAGUGAGAGGUCUUGCAAAGAUCUGGGUGAGUGCCUCUCCUGCAGAGGGCAAAGCUGGUGCAAAGGCUCUGAGGUGGGAACAAACCGGGUGUGAUCAAGGAUCAGGAGGGGAUGGCAGGGACCAGCUUAGUGGACCACGUGAGGAGUUGGGGUUUUAUUCAGAAUGUGUGAUGAUGCCAUUGGAGGGGUAACAACAGAGACGCUGAUCCCCAAAGCCAGGCAUGUUCUUAUUCACUGCAGGGCAAUGUGCCCUCUUGCAGCUUGUCUCGACUCCAGCUCCUCACGUGGGGCCUGGGCUUAUUGGAAUGUAGGUGGACAGAUGAGAGGAGGGGUAAGGAGCCAAGAAGCGGGCAGGAGAGAGGGCGUGGCUCUCCAGGAAUCAUGUCAUCCCGUCCUCAUGACGGUCCUGUGUAACAGAUGAGAAAGGGGAAGCCUGCUCAGCGUUAGUGGAGGAGUCAAGUUCACGCCCACACUGGGGACUGCAAACUGCCCUGUCCUCUGCCCCCUGGGUGCAUGCCCUUUGCUACAUGGCUUUGCUGUUCCUCCCAUCAAGUGGGACUGGCCUGGGACUUGCUUUAACAGACGGAGUGAGGCAGCAGGGACAGCGUCCAGCUCUGAGCCUCGGUCUCAAGAGGCACCGUGGUCUGGCACCCUCUCCCGCCUCUGCUGCAUGAAGCCCAGGCGAGUGAGCCUGCUGGAGACACAGAGACAGGUUGGGCCAGCACAGACAGCCUGGACCAGCCAGCCCCCAGCCAACCCGACAGCAAACCAAAGACUCUGGAGGAAGCCAGCUGAGACCAGAGCCACCUAGAUGAGCCCAGCCAAACUGCCAACCUGCCGAAUCAGGAGUGUUCCCAAAUUCAGAUUCUGGAACAAUUCAGUGGAGCCUGGAGGCUGCAAAGCACAGUGGGAGACGGAUGUCCUGGCCCUGGGGGCUGCAGGAAGAGGGCAGCGGGGCCCCUGCCCUGGGCACAGCCUGGAGAGAGGGAGAGGGCAGGUGCCUGAUGGAGCACUAAUCUCUCAGAGAUCUCAGGCUCCCAGGUGCUGCCGCUGCUGCUGGACCAGGGACCACACUUUGAGAACUGCUGUCUUGAUUGACAUUCACAACAGCCGAAUUAGGGACCAAGGAAGAAACUGAAGCAGAGAGAGCAGAAGCGGCCUGCUCAAGGCCACACAGCUAGAAACUGACAGAGGCAGGACUGGAACCCAGGCCGAGUGGAUUCCGAAACCCACCACCUGCAGGUUCCAGAGGUUAAGGUGUGGCCAUCUUCGGGGCCAUUCUGGUGACCACAGACUUGGAUGUCAUCGUCACUUAACCAAGGGGAUGCGUUCUGAGAACUGGCUCCUUAGGCAGUUUUGCCAUUCUCCUGGAGCGUUCUUACACCAACGUAGAUGGUACAGCCUACUGCCCACCUGGGCUCAAUGGUGCUCGUCUUAUGAGACCACUGUCGUAUAUGCGGCCUGUUGUUGACCAAAACGUCCUUACGUGCCCACGACUGUCCAGCAUAGCGCAGAAGGCUGAGUGCACAGCUCGACGAAUUUUUCCGUCUAUACCCACCACCACCCAGAUCAGCACAUAGAAACUUUGUAGGUCCCCAUGGGUUCCCUGUGCCCUCACGUGUCCCCCUCUUUCCCCAACCCCAACAAGGACACACUCUUCUCAACUGCGUUAACUGUCUUUGAACUAUUUAAUUAAUUUAUUUAUUUAUUUUUGCUGAGGAAGAUUCUCCCUGAGCUAAUGUCUGUGCCAAUCUUCCUCUAUUUUGUAUGUGGGAUGCCACCUCAGCAUGGCCACCAACGAGUGGUGUAGGUCCGCGCCGGGGAACCAAAACUGGACCGCUGAAGUGGAGCACGUUGAACUUAACCACUAGACCACAGGGCUGGCCCCUUGAAAUUUUUUUAAGAGAAAUCAUACACGUACAUUUCUUUGUCUCUGGUUUCUUCCACUUAAUAUUAUGCCUGUGAGAUUCACCCAUGUUACUGCACGUAGCAGUAAUUCAUGAUUUUUAUUGCUGUGUAAUAUUCCGUGGCAUGAAUAAACCAAAAUGUAUCCAUUCUACAGUUGAUAGGCAUUGGGGUUGUUAUGGGUUUGGGGCUCUUGUGAAUAGCACUGACAUGAACAUUCUUCGUUACAAAGAGUUUGAAGGUGGCUUUUAUUGACACAUGUCACACAAGCAGUGCAGUGGCCCAACAGUUAGGAACACAGGCUUUGUCUCAGAUUACUGGCAUUCUAGUCUCUGUCUAGCUGCUUACGUACUGUGUGGCCUUGGGCACAGCUUCUCUGUGUCUCAUUUUCCUCUCUUUACAAAGGAUAAUAGUAGUCCUCACCUCAAAGGAGGGUCAAUUAGUUGUCAGGACUCAGUAAAUGUUGGCUAUAAUUAUUAUGAAGCCAAGCAGUACGACAGCAUUGAAAACGGGGGAAUUAAAAGCAGGGAAGGAAGGACAAGAGUAGGAACACACGGUGGACUUGAGAAUGCGUCUUGUGCGUGCAAUACCCACGGCGAUGUCCCCCACGCUUCCAAGUGGGCAGGCAGCAGGCCCGGGGCUGCGCUGGCAAAUCACAGCCUCAGGACCCGGGGACACUUGCUUGUACCAGAGAUGGUGCAGGAUGCUCCCAGAGAAGCAGAGCGCGUCUCCUGGAACAUCCUCAUUCUGCAAAGGUUUAAGGGGAAAUGUGACUUUUGUUUUUAAACAAACACGCGAAGUUUGGAGUAGACUGCAAAGUCACUUGCAUUUCUCAGAUAAACACGAGACUUGAGAAGCAUCCAGCAUUUGCUCUCUCCUCUGCACCCCAAGCCCUGCUGGGCCACCUCUGCCUUCGGGUAGAAGAGUUGGGGGCGCCUGCUGCGUGCUUCCUCGUGGCCACUAGAGGGCAAUAUCACGAGUUCCAAGAUCCGCAGGGGCCCUUGGAAAACAGCAACAGUUGUUCCUCCUGGAGCGUGUUUCUGUUUCUGAUUUUCGCGACUGCGCCGUGGUGGUUUGAGGGCCGCGCAGGCGAGCAGGUUGUGCAGCUCCGUGCUGCACUUGCGUUACUGAUUCCCCUCCCUCUGACCGCCAACAUGCUCGGGGGCACCAUGUCCCCAAACGAGCCCACGAGAGAAAUUAGCUUGUGUUUUGUCUUGCACUGCCCCACUGUCUUGCACGCGUGGAUCCUGGAGCAGACUAUGCAGACGGGAUGGGGUCUCCUCUGCAGGGGCUGCUGGGGCCUGGGCGCCCCAGAUGCCCACCCGCUCCCACUCCACACCCAGGACGAGUAUGGGAUAGAGAGAGGAGAAAACUGAAGGGAGAGGAGGG
rnacentral:lncRNA from 1 species